CAUCUCCUAUCAGUUAGGGAUGAAGCAAUCCCUUGUUCAUCCCCAGCUUGGCUUUUGAUCUAUGCCUGGUUCAUACCUUGGACACAUGG
rnacentral:snoRNA from 1 species